rnacentral:rRNA from 1 species
UACGUAGGGUGCGAGCGUUAAUCGGAAUUACUGGGCGUAAAGCGUGCGCAGGCGGUUUGUUAAGACAGGUGUGAAAUCCCCGGGCUCAACCUGGGAAUGGCGCUUGUAACUGGCAGGCUAGAGUGUGUCAGAGGGAGGUAGAAUUCCACGUGUAGCAGUGAAAUGCGUAGAGAUGUGGAGGAAUACCGAUGGCGAAGGCAGCCUCCUGGGAUAACACUGACGCUCAUGCACGAAAGCGUGGGGAGCAAACAGG